UCAAGAUGGCGGGAGGUGGUGUGCUGCUGCAUCGAUUCGAGAGUUUUUGAUAAGAGGAGGUUAUAUGAACAUGAGAACACAAGAAAGAAGGAACACUGCAGCAGGUCUACUGGCCCAUGCGAGGCAGGUCCAAGUCAUGAUGAGCAGGUGUAAAACAAGUACCAGGAAAGAAGGUAUAAAAGACGAAACUAAAAAUCGGCUGCAGAAAGUGUUGGAUCAACUAGGUUGUGAUGGCUACGAUUGAUCUAAUAUGGGACAGCACCCAGGUACCUCCAAGAGCAAUGAAUAACGAGCCUUCUGGACUGCUAAUACUUACAUAUAUCAUUUAUUCGUUGAGAAAACCCAAAUGAUUACCAGUCCAGGAUCUAUAUGACCCUUAGAUAUUUUGCUAUUUGCUGUGAUUGUAAUACAGAGAUUGCUAGAUUAAUGCGAAUAAUGGCGCACACACACACACACACACACACACACACACACACCAGGGGCCAGGAGCUGAGUCUCGACCCCUGCAACCACAAUUAGGUGAGUACACACACACACCCGUGCCAGCCUGGUUACUCUCACAGUGAAAGGUAUUUGUGGCAACAAUGACUGAUGGCUGGUGGAGCACACAUUGCAACGCUGACUGUUGCACUAAAAUGUUCCUGGGACACCAGUGUUGCUUCUCUACCACACUACCACUACACAAAUAUAUAUACUCUCCAUCAGUCCUCCUUAUUCCUUCUUUCUCCCUCCCUCAUUUAUGUCCUCACUCGUCCUUCUCUCUGCUUCCUCGCAGUGCCACACCAAACACCAUAUUUUCUUCCUCACUUGUAGCCCCUCCCUUCCUUACUCUCUCCCUUCCCCUCUCCCUACAUCACUCCUUUCUGUACUUUUCUUUCUUCCCCUCUCCAUUCUUUCUAUCUUUUCUAUAUCAACACACACACACGCUGUUUUUUUUUUUUACUCUCAAAUGGACUCUUCAGAAUUUUUCUGAACAGGAUUCCAGUUGGGAUUCGAAAAAUUUGUUACAUAUUUAAUGUUUGAUUUAUUUGGAAGCCCACACUGUAUAAUUUUUCAUUCCGAAUAAAUUCUCUA